CAUUCACGGAGAGUUUGAUCCUGGCUCAGGACGAACGCUGGCGGCGUGCUUAACACAUGCAAGUCGAACGAUGAACCGGUUUCGGCCGGGGAUUAGUGGCGAACGGGUGAGUAACACGUGGGCAAUCUGCCCUGCACUCUGGGACAAGCCCUGGAAACGGGGUCUAAUACCGGAUAUGACGCGUUCCCGCAUGGGAUACG
rnacentral:rRNA from 1 species